ensembl:miRNA Mir7233 microRNA 7233
AGUGAGGGACAGAUAGAUGGCAAGUCUUGAUCUAUAUUGUCUUCCUUUAUGUCUAC